rnacentral:tRNA from 1 species
GCCUGGCUGGCUCAGUCAGAGGAGUGUGCGACUCUUGAUCUCGGGGUCAUGGGUUCGAGCCCCAUGUUGGGUG